GGGCCUGUAGUGUAGCCUGGAUAUCACCGGGGCCUCCGGAGCCUCUGACGGGGGUUCGAAUCCCCCCGGGCCCG
rnacentral:tRNA from 1 species